GUGUGUGUGUGUGUGUGGGCGUGUUCUGUGCUGUUUAUCAGAGAUGUUUCUUGCUGUCUUUCACAGAUUAAGCAGCCGAGGUCAGCAGCAGUGUUUCUCACAAUCCUUCAGCACACAUCAGGUGGAUGAAAGCACACACACUGAAGCGCAGUGCUUUGGAUUACUGAUCUUCUCUGGGGUUUGGCUGUAAGUAGACUUUGUUUCACACACAGCUCAUGUGAUGAUAUCCUCAGCGGCUGCAUGUAGGUGUAGGUUUCCGUCUUUCUCUGUCUGUGGUUAGCAGCGAGUGUGGUCUGGUCCUCUGAGGUCUCCUCUGAACAGCUGUAUCUGUGUCACAUGACCUUCAGUGAAUGCUCUAACUAGUGCUUCUGAUGGGAAAACUUUAAGGUGCACCUAAAACACACGUCUGGACAUCUGGCUUUGAGAUUUCAUUAGUUCACAUGGGGAAUAAUCUUUUUCAGUUUAUGUGUACAUGUUAUGUCAUGAAUAUAAUAAGUAAUGGUUCACAAGGGUUUUAUUUCUUAACUGUACUUUGUUAAAUAGCAUGAACCAAGAAUGGAAAUAUCUCUGUGGGUUCCUGAAUACAUCAGUGAAUGUACUGAAUACUCAGCACAUAUCAGUCUCGUUUACACCGAAUGCAGUCAAAUCACAAUCAUUCUCACGUGAAGAGUGUUUGUGGCAAGGUUUCAGUGCUUCCUAGUUAUUGUUAUUGAUGCUUUAUAAGUGUGGAGGAUAACUGCGCUCCUGCAAGCGUGAUCUGUGCUCAUCUCUGUGUCUUCUGUCUUUCAGACUCACAGAGACACUCGCGGGGCUCAUGAAGACUGAACAGGAUGAAGACGCCGCGCAGGAAGAGAGCAGCCCUGUGUCUGCUGACCCCCAGCAGGAGCCCGUCUCCACCUACUUCGAGGAGAAGGUGCCCAUCCCUGAGGAUGACGUAACCAAGGUACCUCCACGCCGGAAAGAUCAUCCGAUCCCAUUUGCUCCGUUUACACUUUUGACUUCUUUGCUUUUUGUUGUUUAAUAUCAAACCCAGCUUGUCAUUUGAUUUAAAUCGUCUUUUGUUUCUCAUCAUAUUCACACGUGAACCAGAUUGAUGUUAUUAUAAUACAUCAGUGACUGUAAAACACCAGAUGGAUACUUUUACUUCAACACUGAAUUUCCAGAUGAUUUUAUGUUAAAGGAGUAGUUCACCCAAAAAUGGAAAUAGC
ensembl:lncRNA